rfam:Gossypium arboreum cultivar AKA8401 contig_7138_3, whole genome shotgun sequence.
AGUUAAAUUUUUUAUUCAUUUUUAUUAUUAAAAAUUAGCGUAUUCGAUGGAAUAAUCCGAUAAUUAUACUUGGUGUGCUAUAUGUAUCUUAUAUUGUCAUACAAAGCUCCGUUUUUAAUAGUAUAAAUGGAUAAAAAUUUUAAUG